AUUUACAGCCUGUAUUGUAAACUACACUGAAAACAUACUUUACACACAAUUUUCAGCUCAGUAUUAUGUUAUCCUCUUCAUUCAAGUAAUAUGUAAACUCUUCUCGAAUGUAAAACGAACGAUCUACUCUAAACAGUAACCCAAAUAUGGCACUGUGUAUUCGGUUGAAUAGCCAAUCAUUUCAAAUCAAGUUGAGCGGGUCUGCAUCGUUAUUUUGACGAAGUUUGAAACCGGUGGUAAUUUUUUGACACUUCAUCUAGAUUUAAGAAGAUUCUUGCCUUGACAACUGCUCGAACUCCCGGGUUGGCAUGCUCUAAAGCAUGAUUGUCAUCUUCAAUUUGAGGGACUCUCACCUAAAGUCCUUUUACUGUUCCAUAUCAGGAAAAAGUUCAUGAGCUGAAACAUGCGAUUGGGGAAAAAGGAAAAGCAUUAGGAAAAUGCCUGCAUGGGGAGAAAAGUUUUGAACUCUGAAAAGGGAGGUGUGACAAAAACAUUUUGACACUUCUUGAUUUCCACUAAAACCAAUAUCCACAAGAAAGAGGACAUAGUUUUAUGUUGAUUCACAACUUUAAAUUUAAGAAUGUACAGUUGGUUUUAUUAUAAAACAUGUCACAUACAAAAAAACAUAUUUGUGAAAUGUACUCUGUCUUUGAUAUGUAUGUAAUUUGCAGGAUAGGAUGUGGGCAACAUAUACUGCCAAGAAUCUUGAUGAUUUUGAUCUUAUGUUUGUAAAAAAAU